rnacentral:lncRNA from 1 species
AAGACCUGGCCACAAAUGAAAAACAAAUAUCAGGAAACACAAAAUUAAUAAAAACCUUAUUUUAUUUCAAAUUGGGACAUAAGAAAAGCAAAAAGCAAUAAUGAAAAAAAAUAAAUUGUAAUGAAAGAAUGUGUACAAGAAGAAGAGAGAGAGAGACGAGUGGUGGCGGAUUCUGAUCUCGGAAGUGCAAGUUUGGUAGAGUGCUGAAAUGUAUAAAACGCCGUCAUUUUGUACACUUCAAAAGCACUAUACCGAAUUUGCACUUCAGAUGAUCCGAACUCAAUGGUGGGAGAGGUAAAAUUGGGGAGGUAGUAAGAGAGUAUUUUGAAAGUAUAAAAGUCAUUAAUAAGAUAGGAAUCUUGAAUACAAAUAUCAUUGGGCGCUUAUUUCCUGGUCAAAAUUACGCUAUUGCCCUUUUAGGCAUGACACGCAUGAUUCUGUGGGAGCAUGUGGCGUGCAAGGAUUAUUCGACUAUG